rnacentral:tRNA from 1 species
UAUAAAAAAUAAUAUUGGAUUAGGAAACUAAUAGUAGUAUGAAAAUCCAUUGUCUUAAAGACGUCCGGGUUCGAAUCCCGGUAGGUGCACCA